GAUGAACGCUGGCGGCGUGCCUAAUACAUGCAAGUCGAGCGAACGGACGAGAAGCUUGCUUUUCUGAUGUUAGCGGCGGACGGGUGAGUAACACGUGGAUAACCUACCUAUAAGACUGGGAUAACUUCGGGAGACCGGAGCUAAUACCGGAUAAUAUUUUGAACCGCAUGGUUCAAAAGUGAAAGACGGUCUUGCUGUCACUUAUAGAUGGAUCCGCGCUGCAUUAGCUAGUUGGUAAGGUAACGGCUUACCAAGGCAACGAUGCAUAACCGACCUGAGAGGGUGAUCGGCCACACUGGAACUGAGACACGGUCCAGACUCCUACGGGAGGCAGCAGUAGGGAAUCUUCCGCAAUGGGCGAAAGCCUGACGGAGCAACGCCGCGUGAGUGAUGAAGGUCUUCGGAUCGUAAAACUCUGUUAUUAGGGAAGAACAUAUGUGUAAGUAACUGUGCACAUCUUGACGGUACCUAAUCAGAAAGCCACGGCUAACUACGUG
rnacentral:rRNA from 1 species